ACUCAGGCAGCCGGGGCGAGAAGCCCGCGGUGAGCACUGCCCUGGUGCCGUGGCCUUCAGUAGCGCUGAGCUGAUGUCUGGCUGGGCAUCGUGCCUGUACCCUUCUAUAUGCAGUUUCCACAUCAACGCAACGGAAGCUGCUGGGGAGGAGCCACCUCAGUUUGAUCUCUGGUGCUCAGCCUCCAUGGACAGAUCUGGCAGUGCACUUGAACAGGGCUGCAAAGAUAACGUUCUGCAGGAUUGAGUGCUCCCCUGCAGCAUCCUCAGGCUAUUUGGGGUGAGGAGGAUGGUUGAUCUCCCUGCCUCAGAGCACAGCACAUCUCCAGCAGACAUGGCUGUUGGGCACUGAUGGAAGACAAGAGGCUAACGAGAAGGGAGAAGGCACUGAAAGCCUCUCCAGGGUGGACAUACUGAGAAAGACUCUUCCUCCUUCAUCUUCACAAAUGUACAGAAGAAAACAAACUGAUGCUUCUCUGCUUCUGCCGCUCUCUGGAUUUCAGAGAUGACUGUUGUGACAUUUCCCUACUCAGAAGUGGCCAAGACAGAAUGUCACUUUAUUCCUUCCCCGUUUCCUCUAGCUGAAACCUGCUGCUGCAGAAGACCUCAGCAGCGAGUCACUACUCCAUCUGCUGUCUGGAGGAGGCCAUUCAUCUUCAAAGGGAACAACAGACUUUUCAGUGACUUUUCUCCUGAGGGAUCAGGUGCUGACAGAACACUCUCCUUAGCCAAACUCAGGCUUUCAAGGACAGUUUUGGUUGCUUGUUAACCUCUAAAGCAAUAUAGUAUAAAAAUAACCAGGAAAGAACAAUCUGUUGAUCUGGACCAGCUUUUCUCUUCAGAGUUGACUUAAAAGGAAGGGUCAGAGGGUGAGCAGAGAGGAAUGGCUUUCCCUUUCCCAGGUAUCUCACUGUUCCAGAGGUGGGAUAGUGGCCUGUGGGAGUCUGCACAUGCUGUGACUCCUGUGGCCUGCUCUGCAGGGCAGACGUGUUACUGAGCUUGGUUUUCACUUCAAGUGGAGUGCUAAGGUGCUAAAUAUGGAGGUGUGUGAGGAAGCCUUCCCCAAACAAAGCUCCCUUACAGGAAAAGAGCUGAUAAUCUUUGGAGUCUGCUACAGAUUUAGCACCUAGCUGGCAGCUGAAGGUGAGAAAGACAGGUCUGGGCAGCUGCACAGGACACGGGGCUGGGAAAGGGCACAGCUAUGCCCUGAGUACCUGAUGAGCAGGCUUUGAGAUUAUCCAAGGAGCUGUGCUACCUGAUGAGGAGCAGGAGCCUGUGGACAGCUGGAUUUUCAGCCUGUUACUGUCUCUGUCGAGACACAGGUGCUGAGAUGCUUCUCACUGCUGGGCUCUUGAGCUUUCAGCUGGGCACCUGUCCAGCUAUCCAUCACUCCUUGGAUCUGGUCCAUGGGAAACCAAAUGUGAUCUGAGGGUUUGCCACUGCGGUGGAGAUAUCAAACAGACACCUGGCAUUUAAUACAAGCUGAGGGGAAGUUGGGCUGAAAAUAGAACUGGGCAGUGCCUUGAGUGCUUUGAGUCUGUGCUGGGGCUUCUGCCUGGGGCCAUGGCCCUGUGGAUCAGCUCAAGGCAGAACCAGCUGUUUGGGUGUAACUGUAGAAAAAUUGAUGUGGGGCAGCUCAGAACCUCACGUGAAUUGGAAGCCAGUGCGAGGUUUUCUUUUUUCCCCAGGAUUUGAUCACGUGAGGAACAAUGGAGUGAGCGCUUCCGCGCUUUGUGGUACGACUGACAGAUAGUGCAGAGGAGGUGAGGCUGGCUUUGUUUUCAGCUGUGAAACCCAGGAAGGGAUAUGUUCUUUGUGAAUUAAUUAAUCUGGAGAAAAGGCAGUUUAACUAUUCGACAAAAGAUUCAUUUCCACCCACUUCCCAGCUGGCAGCUUAGCCAUGGACUGUCAGAUUUCCAUCAGCCUCCAACGUUCCGACUGAAAUAGCAAUUUUUGCUUGGCAGGCCAGAGAGUAACAGUUGUGAGCCCUGUGCUGCUUGUGGGUAACAGGUAAGGGAGGUAGGACAAGGUUCUGCCCUGCUCCAGGCAGGGCUGGUUGGUGCUGCAUGGCUCAUUUGGAAGAUGCCAUGAGCAGGAGCUGAACUUGAAUCCCUCCGAGUAGAGAUUUGAGUUUGUUUCCUAGGCUAGUGGGUUUCAGGGAUUCUUCCCUUGACCUUAUUGUGAAUGGGGGGAGGUGAAAGCAUCCUUCAGCCCAAGGGAAGCAUUUUUCAUGUGGAUUGUUCGGUGUCUCAGCAGCACAGCAAUCAGGGAGAAGGGAGAGUUAGUGUAGUGCCCAGUGGCAAUCUCAGACAGGCACAGAAGCUGAGGAAAAUCAUAAUCACAAAGCCAUCAGUCUGCUAACAAGAGCUGGGGGAGGAAACCUCAGAUGAAAUCCUAGUUUGUAAUAGCACACAGCAGAUACCUGCUGGAUUCCUGCAGUUGGGACUCAGCCCAGGAAAGGUGUGUGCUGCCAUUUCAGAGGCUAUUGGGAUGUAAAAACUCCAGCUUCCUUCCAAAUAUUUGCAAGCCUUGAGUCAGGCCUACCAAAGAGAACUGUGAGGGAGACAUUUCCAUCCCUGUGACACACCCACAGCAGGUCUCAUCCCUCAGUGAUAGAGCUGACUGUGUCACCUGUUGCCAGUAAAAGGAGUGCCAGCAGAGCAGUGGCUUUCCUGUGCAUGUCACUGCUAUCAACAGAGCAAAGAUGUCUCUAAAUAGCACAGGAAUGUUUAGCAAUUGUGGUCUCAUGUGAAAAGUUCAAGCUGUAUUUCAAGGACAGAAGGUUUUUUGAGAAGGAAGAGAUCAAAUCCCCAAGGAGUGGUUGUAAAAUGCCACUGUGAGUGCCCCCCAAAUGCCUUCGGCACAUUCUGCUGAAGUGACAUGCUGCAGCUUGUGUCUGUGUGAUGAGAAAAGGACACAAGGGUACAGAGCUGGGACCCUGAGCAACCUUACACAUGAUAAAUACCACAAGGUAAUGGCAAAAUGAUCUUUAUUCUGUGUAAAACACAGAAAAAGAGGGCAUCAGCCAAUCCUUGGGUGCAGUUAGCAGGAACCUGAGAACAAACUGUGCAAGACACAUUUACAGUUGUGAAUAUUUGCUGCUCUGUCAAGACUGAGGGCUCCUUAGGAGUCAGUGUCUGCUGAGAUUUAAACAAAUAUGCUACUGCAGCCCCUCUGAAGACUGACCUGGGAGUUGCACAGAAACACCCGGCUGAGGUGUUUCGGGGAAGGGGAAGGAGUUGGAAGGAAAAAGCAAGAAGAAGAACCUGUGUAUCUCAGACAAGACUGACCUAAGCCCAGUGAAUCUAGAUCUGUUCAUCCCUCAGCUGCCUAAAAGCAGAAAGUGCUUUUUAAAAUUCCUUUUGUCAGCUCUGGCAUUUUGAUUUUCAUCUGCAAUGUCACCCUGGAGGCAUAAACUACAAACUCCAGUCUCUACAAAGCUGAGGCUCUGCAAGUGUCCUCCCAUUACUGGGAUUCACUUUUUUGCUUGAGUAACAGGUGGUGCAAGCUUGGGAGGGAGCUGUGGGCAGUGCAGUGGGAGAGGUGGGUUUGGAACCUGCCCAGGGCAAAGUG